AUUGAACGCUGGCGGCGUGCCUUACACAUGCAAGUCGAACGGUAACGCGGGGCAACCUGGCGACGAGUGGCGAACGGGUGAGUAAUGUAUCGGAACGUGCCCAGUUGUGGGGGAUAACUGCUCGAAAGAGCAGCUAAUACCGCAUACGACCUGAGGGUGAAAGCGGGGGAUCGCAAGACCUCGCGCAAUUUGAGAGGCCGAUAUCAGAUUAGGUAGUUGGUGGGGUAAAGGCCCACCAAGCCAACGAACUGUAGCUGGUCUGAGAGGACGACCAGCCACACGGGGACUGAGGCACGGCCCAGACGCCGACGGAAGGCAGCAGUGGGGAAUUUUGGACAAGGGACGCAAGUCUGAUCCAGCCAUGCCGCGUGCGGGAAGAAGGCCUUCGGGUUGUAAACCGCUUUUGUCAGGGAAGAAACGCUCUGGGUUAAUACCUCGGGGUAAUGACGGUACCUGAAGAAUAAGCACCGGCUAACUACGUGCCAGCAGCCGCGGUAACAC
rnacentral:rRNA from 1 species